rnacentral:misc_RNA from 1 species
UUUGGAAAGAAUUCUUCGCUCUACAAGGGAUCCAGCCACAAGUUUCUAUAGCCUAUCACCCUCAAACCGAUGGACAAUCUGAGGGGGUGAAUAGAUGCCUUCAAUGUUAUCUACGUUGUAUGGCUGGAGAUCUUCCACACUCUUGGUUUUAAUGGCUAGCUCUAGCCCAAUUUUGGUACAAUACGUCUUAUCACUCUUCUAUCCAAUUGACUCCUUUUGAAGCAUUGUAUGGGAUUCCACCACCAAUCCACGUUCCUUAUUUUCCAAAAGAUUCUUCAGUAGCUGCUGUAGACAUUUUUCUAAGGGAUCGUGAAGCUGCUCUUGAAGUUCUUAAAUACCAAUUACAGAAGGCAGCCCAUCGCAUGAAAAUGCAAGUUGAUAAGCAUCGAGUUGAUAGGGAGUAUCAGAUUGGUGAUUGGGUCUUCUUAAAGUUACAACCGUACCGCCAAGUCUCUGUUCAGAAAUCUCAUCAUAAAUUCCAGCCUCGGUUUUAUGGGCCAUAUCAAGUGCUGGAUAGGAUUGGGUCUGUUGCAUAUAAAUUGAAUUUGCCACAUGAUGCUCAAAUACACAAUGUUUUUCAUGUGUCUCAAUUGAAACCAGGUUCUGCCUCUAUUACGGCUUCUUCACCUUUGCCAUCCAUCUCCCAUUUUCAAGAUGCAUUUCCCCAGGCUAUUUUGGAUAAACGGUUGGCUAAAGGGAAAAAUAUGGCAGCAACACAGUUGUUAGUUCACUGAAAGGGCUUCUCCCCUGCUGAUGCUUCAUGGGAAUAUGCAGAUGAAUUACAAGCCCGAUUUCCUACUUUUUUCCUUGAGGACAAGGAAACUUAAUGAGGAGUGUGGGCUUGGUGGGAGACUAGUUAGUGGUUCUGUUGAGGAAUUUGCCAAGAUGAAUCAGAAGAUGCCAGAUGGCUAACUUUCCGUGAGUUAUGGGAAAUGCAGUUGGGAAGCUUCUUUUGUAAUUCACUGUAUUAGUUGUAUAAAUAGAUUGUAAAGAAUAUUGUUGAUGUGUGUGAGAUGAUCAAUAAAGUCUUUCUCUCUUCUGUUGA